GCUUGCCCCGCGACAUUGCGAGAAGUCCACUGAACCUUAUCAUUUAGAGGAAGGAGAAGUCGUAACAAGGUUUCCGUAGGUGAACCUGCGGAAGGAUCAUUGUCGAAACCUGCAAAGCAGAAUGACCCGUGAACAUGUUAUCUCGUUACCUCGUCAAUGCGCGGGACUCGUCCUAAAACAUUUUCGAGAACAACUAAUCAUUGAGCGCGGUAUGCGCCAAGGAAAAUGUAAAGAACAUAACCGCCUUGUUGCGGCCCCGGAACGGUGGUCGUCUUGGGGAUGAGUUUGUUCUAUAAGUCAAAAUGACUCUCGGCAACGGAUAUCUCGGCUCUCGCAUCGAUGAAGAACGUAGCGAAAUGCGAUACGUGGUGUGAAUUGCAGAAUUCCGUGAAUCAUCGAGUUUUUGAACGCAAGUUGCGCCCGAAGCCAUUUGGCCGAGGGCACGCCUGCCCUGGGCGUCACGCAUCGUUGCCCCUCCUCAACAAAGAUGUUCUUGUAGGAUGGGCGUAAAUUGGCUUCCCGUUUGCUUGUCUUUCGGUUGGCCUAAAUUUGAAUUCCGUAGCUGCGAUUGCCGUGGCACAUGGUGGUAUUUGAAAAAAUAUUAAUCUGUCACGCGCGGUUGUUAGCCUAAUGGAAAGUAUAAACCCAAAAUUGUUAGCCUUUUAGGGUGACAUUUCCAACGCGACCCCAGGUCAGGCGGGAUUACCCGCUGAAUUUAAGCAUAUCAAUAAGCGGAGAAAARAAACUW
rnacentral:rRNA from 1 species